UAAACAGAUAAUUUUGAAGCACUUGUGCAAUUACCCCCGAUAAUAUAAUCAGUAGACGUCAUCUUAUUGUCUCAGCGUCAACGAUAAAAUAUAGAUGUAGAUAGAGAGUAAUCCCUGCUGUCUAGAUAUAAUUGAAAACUAUCAAUAAUUCAUCAAAAAAAAUUAUCUAUCUGGAGGAUUACGAUUGAAGAGUUUUUCGAUGAAAGCGACAUUUCGUCGUGACGUCAUAGCGCUAGUUCGUUCGAUUGGAAGGCAAUAUGGGAAUACGGCUUGUCGUUGAAUUGCCUGGAUGUUUGACUGUUCAGAAUUCGUGCUGUGCUUUAUUAAUAAUAGAAGCAACACAAAAACAAUAUUACAAAUGCUGUAUCGUGUCAAUGUGUCCUAGUACAACUUUUAAAACGCCAGAUAAGCUAUUUAUUCGUGUACCAUGAGAUAAAAGCUGGCGUUUAAAGUGGUGAAAGGCAUGCAGAAGAGCUCACAAGGAUAUUUCUGAGAAGACUACUGUCUAUGUAUGUGAAGAUCAUUUUAAUCAGGAAGAAGAUAUGGAUAACUAUGUUAAAUUCAAGUUAAUGGGAGGUCUGACAAAUGCCAAAUCACUUUUACUGAUGUGUUUUAGUUUUUACUAGCAUGAAAACAAUAUGUUCUUAUUUUUUAUUAAAUCACUUACAUUUUGAUCAAUAGGUACUGUUUGAAUUUUGAAAAUUAUAGCCAUUAAAACUGCAAUCUAACAUUUUAUCGAUUUAUAUAACUAAAACUAUUGACUAUUUUGUCCGGAAAUCUACCUGUUAGCUUUAACACCGCUUCUUCAGCUUCUUCUAACUUCAGCAGGAGUAAAACUUUCGGUGUUUUUAAUGUAAGAUGCCACCAUUAACAUAUCCAUCAGUGGUAAAAUGACAGAUUAUCCUUUUUUACAAAACCUGGGUCAGUCAUUUUGAAAGAUUUUACUUUUCUCCUGAUACACUAUAGAAACGUUUUAACGACAAUAUCAAGACUGAGAUUACAUGUUUACAUGCUCUGCAUUGCAGCCGCCGCGACCAAAUAGCUAGUUGACGUCACAACUGGUCCCAGCCAAUGACGACGCGUUACAAGUGUGAUUUGAAUUAUAUAGUUUUUUAUUGCUUAUAUUAAUUACAUAGAAAUAAAAAAUGAGUUUUUUGGUAAA